AUCAUUGGUCCACACUUUUUAAAUACAUUACAAGCGCGUGCAAUUGACAUGCUAUGAUUGAUAUUGUGAUGACGUCAUGGGUGGUGCUUAGUGCACCACCCACACCACCCGCGCCAGAACCCCUAUUUUGUAUGCUACUAGUAUGGGAUGUGUUUGGUGAAUCACAAUCAAAACAGCCCAAAAAACUUCAAAAUAGAGCCGCUAGAAUUAUCUUGAACAUGAGUAAUGACGUAAAUCCUUCCAUUGCUCUACGUGCAUUGGGCUGGGAGCCACUCAAAACUGAAAGGAAGAAAGCUAAGGCAAAAAUGAUGUACAAAGUAUUAAAUAAAAUGGGUCCUAAAUCACUCACCAAUCUUUUUUCAUACAAAUGUGAGAAAACAAACUACAACCUUCGUGACAUUUCAAGCGGUCUUAGUUUACCAAAACCGCGUACUAACAACAUGAAAAAUAGUUUCAUGUAUGACGGAGCACACCUUUGGAAUUCUAUUCCAAAGGAAAUUAGGGAAAGCGAAACUCUUUCAUCCUUUAGAAAUAAAAUCGCUGCUCACAAAAUUGACAUAGAGUAAAUUGAUGUAACUGUAAAUAUUCUAAUAACCUUCUUAUCAUGUAAAUAAUAUAUUUAAUAUUCUACCUUUUUAAACUUAAGUAAUUUAAUAUCUCCAAGUAACAUUUUUCUAUUUUUGCACACGCCCCCCGUGGAUUUCGGUUGACGGGGCAGCGUGUAUAAAUAAAGUUUCUAUCUAUCUAUCUGUGAUUAAUAUUUAAUCUAUUCU